rnacentral:rRNA from 1 species
UACGGAGGGGGUUAGCGUUGUUCGGAAUUACUGGGCGUAAAGCGCGCGUAGGCGGAUUAGAAAGUUGGGGGUGAAAUCCCGGGGCUCAACCUCGGAACUGCCUCCAAAACUGCUAGNCUAGAGUUCGAGAGAGGUGAGUGGAAUUCCGAGUGUAGAGGUGAAAUUCGUAGAUAUUCGGAGGAACACCAGUGGCGAAGGCGGCUCACUGGCUCGAUACUGACGCUGAGGUGCGAAAGUGUGGGGAGCAAACAGG